UGGGGGAAUAUUGCACAAUGGGGGAAACCCUGAUGCAGCAACGCCGCGUGAAGGAAGAAGGUCGUAAGAUUGUAAACUUCUGUCUUUGGUGACGAGAAAAGGACGGUAGCCAAGGAGGAAGCCACGGCUAACUACGUGCCAGCAGCCGCGGUAAUACGUAGGUGGCAAGCGUUAUCCGGAAUUACUGGGUGUAAAGGGAGCGUAGGCGGGCAUGCAAGUCAGAUGUGAAAACUUGGGCUUAACCCCAAGACUGCAUUUGAAACUGUAUGUCUUGAGUGCGGGAGAGGUAAAUGGAAUUCCUAGUGUAGCGGUGAAAUGCGUAGAUAUUAGGAGGAACACCAGUGGCGAAGGCGAUUUACUGGACCGUAACUGACGCUGAGGCUCGAAAGCGUGGGGAGCAAACAGGAUUAGAUACCCUGGUAGU
rnacentral:rRNA from 1 species